rnacentral:rRNA from 1 species
UCUUGAAUAUAAAUUCAUACUACCAGGGGACUACGAACAAUAAUAUAGUUUAAAACCCAAAGAACUUGGCGGUGUUUCAUACUACUUAGGGGAACCUGUUUCAUAAUCGACAAUCCACGAUAAACCUAACCUUAUUUGUAACCAGUAUGUAUACCGUUGUCGUCAGGUAACUUUUAAAAAUACAGAAGUUAGCAACAAAAAAAUUAAUUUUAACGUCAAAUCAAGGUGCAGCCAAUAAUAAGGUGAGAAUGGGUUACAAUUAAAAUUUAUAAUACGAAAUAAAUUAAGAAAUAAAUUUAUGAAGGAGGACUUAAAAGUAAAAAAAUAAAUAUAAAAAUUUUUUGAAUAAAGCUCUGAAACGUGC